UGUCUGGUUGAUCCUGCCAGUACUAUACGCUUGUCUUAAAGAUUAAGCCAUGCAAGCACUGUUCAGGUUUUUAACCGAGACAGCGGACAGCUCAGUAGGACGGUUUUAACGAAGGCAGAGCGAGAAGUGGAUAACCGUGGGAAUUCCAUGGCUAAUCAGGAACGAGAUUCGUUUUUUGAAAGAGAGACGGGUUGAUCUGCAUCGGGGACUGGCCCAUCAACUGUAGAGUAGGGUAACGGCCUACGCUGGUGACGACGGGUGCGGGGGAUUAGAGUCCGAUUCCGGAGAGGGGGCCUUCGAGAUAGCCACCAUGUCCAAGGACAGCAGCAGGCGCGAAACUUACCCAAUCCCUUUUGUGGGGGAGGUAGUGACGAGAAAUAGUGUAUACUCUGGAGAACUAGUAAAGAUAGUAUUGAUGAGCGACUAGAGGGCAAGUCUGGUGCCAGCAGCCGCGGUAAUUCCAGCUCUGGUAGCGUAUAGUAAAGUUGUUGCAGUUAAAAGGUCCGCAGUCGUUAGUCGGCCGCGUUGAGCAAAGGGGAGUGAUUUAGGGGCACCAUUAAGCAUUGUCCGGCCGACAUUUCAGGAGGAUUCAGGGUCGAGGGGAAUACGGCGGGAGGAGUGAAACCCGGGGAGCGCCGUGGGACCGACGGAGGCGAAGGCGCUCGACAGGGAUGCGUCCGGUGACCAUGGACGAAGGCCAGGGGAGCGAAGAUGAUUAGAUACCGUCGUAGUCCUGGCAGUAAACGAAGCUGA
rnacentral:rRNA from 1 species